rnacentral:rRNA from 1 species
GCAGCAGCCGCGGUAAUACGGAGGGUGCAAGCGUUAUCCGGAUUUAUUGGGUUUAAAGGGUCCGUAGGCGGACUUAUAAGUCAGUGGUGAAAGCCUGUCGCUUAACGAUAGAACUGCCAUUGAUACUGUAAGUCUUGAGUAUAUUUGAGGUAGCUGGAAUAAGUAGUGUAGCGGUGAAAUGCAUAGAUAUUACUUAGAACACCAAUUGCGAAGGCAGGUUACCAAGAUAUAACUGACGCUGAGGGACGAAAGCGUGGGUAGCGAACAGGAUUAGAUACCCCCGUAGUCCCUGUCUCUUAUAU